rnacentral:rRNA from 1 species
GACGAACGCUGGCGGCGUGCCUAAUACAUGCAAGUCGAACGCUGAAGGAGGAGCUUUCUUCCCUGGACGAGUUGCGAACGGGUGAGUAACGCGUAGGUAACCUGCCCGGUAGCGGGGGAUAACUAUUGGAAACGCUAGCUAAUACCGCAUAAGAGUAGAUGAUGCAUGACAUUUGCUUAAAAGGUGCAAUUGCACCGCUACCAGUCGGUGCUUCGUUGCAUUAGUUAGUUGGUGGGGUAAGGGCGAACCAAGACGACGACCAUUAGUCGACUGGGUAGGGGGUCGGCCCCCCUGGGACUGGGACACGGCCCAAACUCCUACGGGGAGGAGCAGGAAGGGAACUUCGGGCAUUGGCGGAAAUCUUACCGGAGAACGCCGGGGUGGUGAAUGAGGUUUUCGGAUCCUAAAACUCUGUUUUAAGGGGAGAAAGAGUGGUGGAGUGAAAAGUUCACACUGUGACGGUAUCUUACCAGAAAGCGACGGCUAACUACGUG